rnacentral:rRNA from 1 species
UACGUAGGUGGCAAGCGUUGUCCGGAUUUACUGGGCGUAAAGGAUGCGUAGGCGGAUAUUUAAGUCAGAUGUGAAAUUCCCGGGCUCAACUUGGGAGCUGCAUUUGAAACUGGGUAUCUAGAGUGCGGGAGAGGAGAGUGGAAUUCCUAGUGUAGCGGUGAAAUGCGUAGAGAUUAGGAAGAACACCAGUGGCGAAGGCGGGACUCUGGGCCGAUACUGACGCUGAGGAGCGAAAGCGUGGGGAGCAAACAGG